GCAGAAGGGUGGUCUGUCGCUUGAAGACAGGAUCUUCAAGAGGAAAGUCCGGGCAACAGAGGGCACCAUGUUUCCUAACGGGAAGCCGGCGGCGACGCCGGGGAUAAGUGACAGAAAACAACCGCCUCCCAAGGGAGGUAAGGGUGAAAAGGCGGGGUAAGAGCCCACCGGCUCCCUUGGUGACAAGGGAGGCCGCACAUCCCAUGGGUUGCAAGGCCAAAUAUACCGGCAGUCAAGGAUUGCCCGUCCAUUGCCGGGGGGUAGGCUGCUUGAGCCCGCGGGCAACCGCGAGGAUUAGAUAAAUGACAGACGCCAUCUUUUUGAUGGUACAUAACCCGGCUUACAUCCCUUCUGCUUUU
rnacentral:RNase_P_RNA from 1 species